rnacentral:rRNA from 1 species
UACGUAGGGUGCGAGCGUUGUCCGGAUUCAUUGGGCGUAAAGAGCUCGUAGGCGGUUCGGUAAGUCGGGUGUGAAACCUCCAGGCUCAACCUGGAGACGCCACCCGAUACUGCUGUGACUAGAGUCCAGUAGGGGAGCGUGGAAUUCCUGGUGUAGCGGUGAAAUGCGCAGAUAUCAGGAGGAACACCAGCGGCGAAGGCGGCGCUCUGGGCUGGAACUGACGCUGAGGAGCGAAAGCGUGGGGAGCGAACAGG